UACGUAGGGGGCGAGCGUUGUCCGGAAUCAUUGGGCGUAAAGCGCGUGUAGGCGGCCGACCAAGUCCGGUGUGAAAGCUCAGGGCUCAACCCUGAGUCUGCACUGGAAACUGGCCGGCUUGAGUCCGGAAGAGGAGACUGGAAUUCCUGGUGUAGCGGUGAAAUGCGCAGAUAUCAGGAAGAACACCGGUGGCGAAGGCGGGUCUCUGGGACGGUACUGACGCUGAGACGCGAAAGCGUGGGGAGCAAAC
rnacentral:rRNA from 1 species